CUGGUACUCCCUCCGUUCGGAAAUACUCGUCCUAGAAAUGGUUGUAUCUAGACUUGUUUUAGUUUUAGAUACAACCAUUUCUAAGACAAGUAUUUCCGAACGGAGGGAGUAUAUU
rnacentral:pre_miRNA from 1 species